rnacentral:rRNA from 1 species
AUUGAACGCUGGCGGCAGGCCUAACACAUGCAAGUCGAACGGUAACAGAAAGCAGCUUGCUGCUUUGCUGACGAGUGGCGGACGGGUGAGUAAUGUCUGGGAAACUGCCUGAUGGAGGGGGAUAACUACUAGAAACGGUAGCUAAUACCGCAUAACGUCGCAAGACCAAAGAGGGGGACCUUCGGGCCUCUUGCCAUCGGAUGUGCCCAGAUGGGAUUAGCUAGUAGGUGGGGUAAAGGCUCACCUAGGCGACGAUCCCUAGCUGGUCUGAGAGGAUGACCAGCCACACUGGAACUGAGACACGGUCCAGACUCCUACGGGAGGCAGCAGUGGGGAAUAUUGCACAAUGGGCGCAAGCCUGAUGCAGCCAUGCCGCGUGUAUGAAGAAGGCCUUCGGGUUGUAAAGUACUUUCAGCGGGGAGGAAGGGAGUAAAGUUAAUACCUUUGCUCAUUGACGUUACCCGCAGAAGAAGCACCGGCUAACUCCGUG